AUUGAACGCUGGCGGCAGGCUUAACCCAUGCAAGUCGAGCGAGCGGCGGACGGGUGAGUAAUGUCUGUGAAACUGCCUGAUGGAGGGGGAUCACUACUGGAAACGGUAGCUAAUACCGCAUACCAUCAGAUGUGCCCAGAUGGGAUUAGCUAGUAGGUGGGGGAAAGGCUCACCUAGGCGACGAUCCCUACCUGGUCUGAGAGGAUGACCAGCCACACUGGAACUGAGACACGGGCCAGACGCCUACGGGAGGCAGCAGUGGGGAAUAUUGCACAAUGGGCGAAAGCCUGAUGCAGCCAUGCCGCGUGUGUGAAGAAGGCCUUCGGGUUGUAAAGCACUUUCAGCGAGGAGGCGUUACUCGCAGAAGAAGCACCGGCUAACUCCGUGCCAGCAGCCGCGGUAAGUC
rnacentral:rRNA from 1 species